rnacentral:lncRNA from 1 species
CUUCUGGUGAGAGAAAGCUGAGCAGAAUGGAUCUAAUCUGAUUCCUCCACCCAGAAGCCCUUAAAAUGCAGCUUUGUUUUAAGCCUUCUUGAAGAUUUGGGCUAGAUCUAGAAAAGAACCUCACCACGGAGGAUGUGCAAAGUACAACACGUGACCCCGGAGACGGAAGCUCUUCUCUACCUCCGUAAAGAUGAUCUCUGAUGAACAGACAUGAUCAUGCCUGGAGAACAGGGAUGGACAGUCCCGCUUCUGAAAGACCCUGUCUGGCUGAUGAUUCAUGGUGCGCCGGGCAGACCCCAGGCCAAGAGACCCCACCCACAGUACCUGAGUGCUCAGCUGGGAACCAGACCAGACCUCAAAACAGGUUUGCAGAAUUAAGAUGAGGAGCUGAGCUCAACACAGCCUCCGCAGCUCCCCAGGGCGGGCCUGAGCCGAGGGAGAGCCCAUGGCCAUCAGGGUGCUGGAAUGCAUGUCACACUGCAUUACGUGCAUUACGAUCCACGCUGCAAUGACAGCCCAGAGCGUGGAGAACCCAGAGAGGGUGGGGAGAUGGAAUCCCGGCGAGCCAGCGCUGGCAGGGACCACGGGGAGCAGCUGGUCCAGCCGCCGGUUUUCCAAGAGAGAAGACUAAGAAACCAGCCCCCCAGCAUUGACCUGGAUGCCUGCCACAGCCUCCUCCCUGGUCUCCGGCCUCCCACCUCUGCUCCUCGGUCUCCUCUACCCAGCCAGUAACUGCAGAGAGCACUAAAGCACAGUCCUGGCAUCUCACCCCCUUAACCCUGGCCACGGCUUCCCAGUGCCUCCAAGAUAAAGCACCAACACCUGAGGACAGCAGCUUGUUUUGAGAGUCCCCUCCAUUGAAACACGCACAUCUAAUUUGUCCUUCAGUUCGCUGGACUCCACGCUGAACGUGCCAUGCUCCAUUGCCCCGUGAGUAACUCCAUGCUCUUGCCGGUUUCACACGGCCUCUCAGAGCUGGAGCCUUUGUUCAGGAGCCCUGGGCAGCUUUCAGGAAGCUCUUGGGCUCAUCAGCUUCCUCUGGCUGAAGCCGCCCCAGUGGAAUCAUGGGGAUUUCUUACUUUGAAGGUGGGGCCACCCGCAGACUGUAACCGGCUGGUUCAAGAUCAAGGACUUCCCCAGGCCACCUGCCUCAGAGGCAAGAAAGGCUCAGCUGAGUCCCAGACACUCCUCGCUGUGGCCCCUCCUUCCUCCCUGCUGGGCAGGCCCCCCUCAAUUCUGUUUGCCAGCAGGGCCUAGUAACACUGAAAGACGAAAAGGGAAAUAAAAUAAACACAAUUAAUAGGCUAAAGGUUACUGAAUAAAGUGGCAGCAGUAAAUAAAUUGACUACUGUGCAAAUACAAAGACAUGAAGACAUGAAACCCCUGCUCUAAAUGACCACUCACCAAGAGCAAGGCCUGGGCUGGAGGCAGGGAGCACCUCCCUAAGGAGCACUCCCUCUUUCCCGGAGUGAGUCCUCCUUCUAGAUGGAAUUCAGUCCGGGUUCCUCUUGAGCCACAGUCCCUGUUGGGGCCUAUCUCAGUGGACUCAAGAUCCUGAACUUCUUCCAGAUUGCUGACUACACAUUUGAGUCACCCAGAGAUUAAAAGAAAAAACAAAUAAUUUCCCAGUGAUCAGGAGUAAAUCAGCUGGGGCAGGGUUGGUGCUAUGAAUGACCACACUGAUUUGUACACUUCACUGAUUUGUAGUGUUUGCUAUUUCCGUCGUGUAAAUACUGCCAACAUGGACAAUCUUCAGUUGCUAAUGGUUUACUAACUGGCUUGUAAAUGAAUUCAUUCAGUAUUCAAGAAAAUGGCACUACAUUUA